UCCAGAGAUGGAUUGGUGCCUUCGGGAACUGUGAGACAGGUGCUGCAUGGCUGUCGUCAGCUCGUGUUGUGAAAUGUUGGGUUAAGUCCCGCAACGAGCGCAACCCUUAUCCUUUGUUGCCAGCGGUCCGGCCGGGAACUCAAAGGAGACUGCCAGUGAUAAACUGGAGGAAGGUGGGGAUGACGUCAAGUCAUCAUGGCCCUUACGACCAGGGCUACACACGUGCUACAAUGGCGCAUACAAAGAGAAGCGACCUCGCGAGAGCAAGCGGACCUCAUAAAGUGCGUCGUAGUCCGGAUUGGAGUCUGCAACUCGACUCCAUGAAGUCGGAAUCGCUAGUAAUCGUGGAUCAGAAUGCCACGGUGAAUACGUUCCCGGGCCUUGUACACACCGCCCGUCACACCAUGGGAGUGGGUUGCAAAAGAAGUAGGUAGCUUAACCUUCGGGAGGGCGCUUACCACUUUGUGAUUCAUGACUGGGGUGAAGUCGUAACAAGGUAACCGUAGGGGAACCUGCGGUUGGAUCACCUCCUUACCUUAAAGAAGC
rnacentral:rRNA from 1 species